UACGUAGGGCGCAAGCGUUGUCCGGAAUUAUUGGGCGUAAAGAGCUCGUAGGCGGCUUGUCACGUCGAUUGUGAAAGCCCGAGGCUUAACCUCGGGUCUGCAGUCGAUACGGGCUAGCUAGAGUGUGGUAGGGGAGAUCGGAAUUCCUGGUGUAGCGGUGAAAUGCGCAGAUAUCAGGAGGAACACCAGUGGCGAAGGCGGAUCUCUGGGCCAUUACUGACGCUGAGGAGCGAAAGCGUGGGGAGCGAACAGG
rnacentral:rRNA from 1 species